rnacentral:rRNA from 1 species
AUCGAACGCUGGCGGCAUGCCUUACACAUGCAAGUCGAACGGCAGCGGACCUUCGGGUGCCGGCGAGUGGCGAACGGGUGAGUAAUAUAUCGGAACGUACCUUUCAGUGGGGGAUAACGUAGCGAAAGUUACGCUAAUACCGCAUAUUCUGUGAGCAGGAAAGCAGGGGAUCGCAAGACCUUGCGCUGAUUGAGCGGCCGAUAUCAGAUUAGCUAGUUGGUGAGGUAAAGGCUCACCAAGGCGACGAUCUGUAGCGGGUCUGAGAGGAUGAUCCGCCACACUGGAACUGAGACACGGUCCAGACUCCUACGGGAGGCAGCAGUGGGGAAUUUUGGACAAUGGGCGCAAGCCUGAUCCAGCCAUGCCGCGUGAGUGAAGAAGGCC